UACGAAGGGGGCUAGCGUUGCUCGGAAUCACUGGGCGUAAAGCGCACGUAGGCGGAUCUUUAAGUCGGGGGUGAAAUCCUGGAGCUCAACUCCAGAACUGCCUCCGAUACUGGGGAUCUUGAGUCCGAGAGAGGUGAGUGGAACUCCGAGUGUAGAGGUGAAAUUCGUAGAUAUUCGGAAGAACACCAGUGGCGAAGGCGGCUCACUGGCUCGGUACUGACGCUGAGGUGCGAAAGCGUGGGGAGCAAACAGG
rnacentral:rRNA from 1 species